rfam:Haliaeetus albicilla contig46917, whole genome shotgun sequence.
CCAAAGGCUCUUUUCAGAGCCACCCACUUCCUUCUAAGAAGAGCUGU